CUGUAGCUGGAAAAUCUAAAAGUGAGUCGAAAGACAAGGAUAAGAAGCAUAAAAAGCACAAAGAUAAGGACAAGGAGAAGGACAAAGAGCAUAAGAAACACAAACAUCGGCAUAAAGAUCGAAGCAAAGACAAGGAUAAAGAGAAAAAGAGAGAUAAAAGUGGUCAUCAUGAUUCUGGUGCUGAUCAUUCGAAGAAACAUCAUGAGAAGGUCUGCUACUAGCAAAACCUUGAGAUAUUCUUUUUUCGAGUCCGAAACUGAAAUGAUGAUUAAUUGGACACAAAGCACAUUUUUAAUGUUUAAAAGAAAGUUACAAAUAGGUAAUUGACAGUACUGUACUGCGAAUUACUUUAACGGAAAUUUUGCCGUUAAAACAAUUCGCAUUAUAGUACUGCGAACUAUUUUAAAAUUUUUUAAUGUAAUUCGCAGUAUAGUGCUGCGAACUAUUUUAAUUUUUUUUAAAAGUAAUUCGCAGUACUAUACUGCGAAUUGCUUAAACGCAGUAUAAUACUGCGAAUUACAUAUUAAUUGGGCCCACCAAUAAUUUAACCGACAUAACAAUAAUUCAAAUACAUAAAACAUAGUAUUGUACUGUGAAUUCCUUUAAAAAAUUCUACACCCCAAACUCGGACUUGCUUUAUUUAUAGGCGUUUCAAUUUUUUGAAAAUUCAUUCAAUACUUAACUUCAAACAUACGUUCAUACUUCUCUCUUCUUGUUAUCAAUCAUUUUUUUACAAUGUCUGAAGUGCCAAAAAUAAUUGUUUCACUAUAUUGGAGGGGGGGGGGGUUGAGGUUUUGGUGGAGAAUAACUCUGUGAGGUAUAAUUCACCUCUACAAUGUCAUGUUAAAUUGUCGCUUACUAUGGAGUACAACAUAUUGGUAUCGUUGUUACGCAAAAAAGAUGAGUGAGUGGAGGCGUUCGGUUACCCUUAAAGUAACCGGUAGAUUUUCGUAUUCGGUGACUUCGCAUGGGUUUGCUUAUUAUUUUGAGUUUAACAUCGAGGAUAAUGAAACUCUUAGAGAUUUUUUGUGGAUUCCCGAUGAAUACAUGGAAUUUAUUGUAAUAAAAUUGUUGGAAAUGUACGUCAAGGUGGAAGACGUUCCCAGUAAUGAGGGCGUGCAUAAUAGGGAUAACCCCCUAUCAUUGGGUGGUUUUUCUGGAGCAGUUUUUUGCCGGACAAAUUGUUGAUGAAAGAGCUUGCCUUGAUUUAAACUUGUCACCACUGGUGAAUGAGCAGCUACAAAAUAAUUUUUCGACUUUAUAUAAUCAACAAGAGGACUGGUGAACUUCAAUUUUAGUACGCUUUAGCGAUGUUUAUUUUAUGUUCUAAUUGGAUUUGUAUUAACACUCAUAUUUUUCAUAGGGGUACCGUCCGGAUAUGAAUUUUACAAGUUAUG
rnacentral:lncRNA from 1 species